CUUCAGACGUCACUAAUCACGUGACUCUGGCCAAACGAAUCAAGCCUCGACACAGUGCUUCUGAAGCAGCGUGUUGAUCUUUCUGACACACGCACCGGAGCGUCAGCUUCAAGCGGACCAUCACUACCUCUCACAUCUAAAGGACCAACAUGGAGCGAGAAGUCAGCGCUCUCAGGAGGCCGACAAACCUCACAGAAGAAAGAGAGAGAAAACAUACAGCUGUGACGAGUGUGGGAAGGAUUUUACUGGGAAGGCUGAACUAAAACAUCAUCAGGUCAUCCACACUGGAGAGAGACCGUUCAGCUGUGACUUGUGUGGAAAGUCUUUUUCCAGGAAGGAUUACCUAAAAACACACCAACUCAUCCACAGUGGAGUUAAAGCGUACAGCUGUGAUCAGUGUGGCAGAGCUUUUACUCAAAGUAGCUACUUACAGAGUCAUCUAGUUACCCACUCUGGAAUUAAGGCAUACAGCUGUGACAUCUGUGGAAAGACUUUCAGCCGGACAGGGCACCGAAAUAGACACCUACGCAUUCACACCAGACAUGAUGUGUACUGCUGUGAACAGUGUGGCAAAGAGUUUAUAACAGACGCACAGUUACAAGAACACAUGUUUACCCACACUGAGGGACGACCUUAUAAAUGUGGCCUGUGUGAGAAGACUUUUAAAGCUCCACGUCACCUGAGACGACACCAACAGAUCCACACCAGAAAGAGACUCUACAAGUGCAGUUACUGUGAGAAGCAGAGCGACACAGAUGGAUCCAGUUCUCAACCCUGUCAUCACUGUGGUGGUGGGAAAGACUUUCGUUGUGACCUCUGUGGAAAAACUUUCAGUCGGCAAGACAGCCUAAAAACACAUCAACGUAGACACACUGGAGACAAACUGAAAAACUGCAAAGAAUGUGGGAGAAGCUUCACCACAUCACGUAACUUAAAACGCCAUGAACUGAUUCACAGUGGGGUUAAAAAGCACCUCUGUGAUCAGUGUGGGUCAUCCUUCACCACUGCAGGUGAGCUUAAAACACACAAACGAGUCCACACAGGAGAGAAACCAUACAAGUGCAGACACUGUGACAAAAGUUUCUCAUGUUCAGGUCAUCGUAACAAGCAUGAACAUACACACAUGGAAGGAAACUACAGCUGUGACCAGUGUGACAAGAGCUUCAGGAAUCUCAGUUCAUACUCCAAACACAAACGAUCCCACGUUACUAAUAAA